UACGUAGGGUGCGAGCGUUGUCCGGAAUUAUUGGGCGUAAAGGGCUCGUAGGCGGUUUGUCACGUCGGGAGUGAAAACUCGGGGCUCAACCCCGAGCCUGCUUCCGAUACGGGCAGACUAGAGGUAUGGCAGGGGAGAAUGGAAUUCCUGGUGUAGCGGUGAAAUGCGCAGAUAUCAGGAGGAACACCGGUGGGACGGCGA
rnacentral:rRNA from 1 species